AAAAAAAUUGUAGCUCUGUAAUAAUAUCAGUAACAUGUAUUCAGUGUUUGCUGUGUAUCUGGCUCCAUGCUAACUACUUAAGAAAACUUAAUCCUCACACUAACCUGUGAUAGGUACUACAUUCCCCUAAAAAUAACACUAACUAGAAACCAAAAGUACCAGCCCUGUGUUAGGUUAAAAAGCCGAAAACCAAGACCAAACCAGAACCACUACAAGCCUUUAUUGUAGGGACAAUAGGCUAGGCUGUCUCCAAUCAAAGGAGAGCGAGCAAUAUGGCAGAAUAGAGAGCUUCUUUACUGGGGUGGGGCUUAUAGGAGCUGGGAUGGAGUUAAGUGAGGUAGUAAGGGAUUGGAGGAGCCUGUGACAUCAUUGGGAGGGGCUUGUGACAUCGCUGGUUUCUCAGAUAUAGCAAGUAUCUGGUUACUUUUUGGUAGAAGAACAGGCAUCGUGGGACGAAGGCUGUCUUUUGGCUUUCAGGCACCUACCCCAUGAUUCUCAUUUCUCAGCAAAGAUUCUCUCAGCAGAAAAACUUGAUAUGGGCACAAAGACCCAAACCACGAGUGCCAUGCCUUUCUGAUGCCUCCUGAACACAAACUCAACCUGAAACCUGCUGUCACCUGUUUUGGAAGGAAUUGGCAAUUGACAGACACAUAGAGACGAGAUGAAUAAAUCCCCUUACUAUAUGCCUGACUGCUUUCACCACCCAGAAAAUACCCUCUACCACCAAGUCUUAACAAACAAUCCAUGAUCCCUAAUGAGCAAAGAGGACUAAGAAAUAGACUUACAUUGUUUAAAAGAAAGAUCUCUUCUUACCUUGAGCAGAAGGGGAAAUUAGCAAAGACUCUCCUUGGAACAAAGUUUGGUAAGGGAAAGAAAAUGGCAGAGUGGUGAUUCAUAGCAAAAUUCAGUCUCUUUGAGAUCCAGAAUCCAUAACCUGGAAAAUAACUUGGUGAAGCAAAAAGGAUAAGGCAGAUCCCUGGGAAUCAGGAAACAACUGUAGGAAAAAUCAGAAGCUACACAGAAGUUGGUAAGAUGGCCCACAAAGCAGAAAAAAAGAAGGAAACAAUUUGGACUCUCUUCUUGGCUCUUGAAGCUUAGGGAGUGGAGUGGCUUCCCAGAAGCAAGAAAAAUGUCCAGGGCUGGAGAUCCAGGGAGAAAUGGCAGCAGAGCCCAUGGAAAAGUGCAAAAAAAAAAGUACAAGGUUUUGCUCCAAGAGAACUCCUUCCACACAGCAGACACUAGCCAGAGAAGAAUUUAAGAGUGGGCACCAAGCAUAUUGCCAGACAAUGCUUGCUCAGGUACCAUUUUAGAAAGGGAGCUCAGAACAACUAAAAAAUAACCACUUCGGGCUUCCAGUGUUAUCCUCCCACAUUGACUGGGUGAGAGACAGCCAUGGGAGACAGCCACUGCCAAGGAGCAGCUAGAAAGAGACACCGGAGAAGUUUAAACUCAGGCCAGGAAGGACGUGGGCCCAGUCCUCCUGGUGAGUUGAGCUCAGAAAUAGCUAGUUCUGCCAGGCAUGGUUGCCUGUAAUCCCAGCACUUGAAAGAACAAGGCAGGAGGAUCACUGUGAGU